rnacentral:lncRNA from 1 species
CAUCGCACCCAGAGCCACAACCUCAAUCGAGCAUGUUCUCCAGGGCCCAGGUGAGGCGAGUUCUGCAGUGGGUGCCCGGGAAGGAGCGACUCGGCCUCUACAGGUUCCUGCCCUUCUUUUUUAUCCUGGGAGGAACAAUGGAGUGGAUCAUGAUUAACGUGCGCGUGGGCCAGGAGACCUUCUGUAAGUGGGGGGUGUAGUAGCCUCCCUUUCCCUUCAGGGAGGCAUGAGAUGGCAGGGAUCCGUUUCCCGGGGGUAUUAGACUGCAGACCGCUUUUUCUCCUUAGCGCGAGCUGCUUUUUAUUCUUGUCGGGAGGGCUAGCACUGUUCCAUUCACUUGGCAGUUGACCCCGCCUAUGGCGCCGGCUCUUCUGUACGUCUUGCACAUUGACGUCCAGCCUUGCGAUCUUUCCUGCACUUUUCAAGCUUGCCCUUCACCCUUGACUUUGAGCCGAGCCUAAGGAACAGGAUAGCUCACAAACAACAGAAGAGGGGGUGGAUCCUGAGGAUUCAUGGAAAUCCCUAUUAACUGUCCUCUCAGAACUCUUCAGCCCACACCCUAGAGGGAGCCGACCUGCCUGCCUAAUCACCAUUGUCUUAAGAGGGCAGUCACUGGCACCAGGUCUUUGGCCUGGGAGCAGAUGCUCAGCACAGUGAAAAGAAUGCCUGACAUUGCUUAGCUGAGCACUAUCUCUGGGCAGACUAGUUCCUUUCAGGAAGACUUCCCCAACCCCUAGGCCCUUUCUGCUUUGUCCCUCUUCUGAAAUAAUAUAUCACUUGUGAACUUUUUUUUUUUUUUUGGUGGUGUGGGGGAUGGAACACAGGGACUCACACUAGCUAGGUCAUUGCUCUAUUAUUGAGCUAUAUGCUCCCAGCCCUACCGACUCUCAUUUUUUAAUUGGAACUUUAGUGCUUCCUUCUGUUCUACCAUUCUAUUUAUUGAACAUCCAUGAGAGGAUCUAAUUAACAAGGCAGAGGUUUUUUACUGCCAGAGAGCUAAUGGGAAAGAAAGACCAGAGUUGGCUGGGUGUGGUGGCUGAGAUAGCAGAGUUCAAAGGCAGCCUCAGCAAAAGUGAGGUGCUAAGCAACUCAGACCCUGUCUCUAAAUAAAAUACAAAAUAAGGCUGGGGAUGUGGCUCAGUGGGCCAGUGUCCCUGAGUUCAAUCCCUGGUACCAAACAGACAAAAAACCCAGUUACCAUCAGGUCUGAGGAUGUAGCUCUCAGUGGUACAGCACUUAUCUAGCAUGAAAGUUUAAUCCCCAGUACCGGGGACUAGGGAAGGAAAAAAGGGAGAUGGUUUACUAUUGUGAUCAGUGCUUAGAGGAGCACAGGAGUGUUGGGUGGGCACCUCCCUGGACUAGAUGGUGCAGGGAAGGCUUCUGGAAGCAGUUACCAGGUAUAGCAGGCUCUGAAGACUGUCAGCCAGAUGCAAGUUCUGUAGAAUUGAGUCUUCAUGGGCAGUGCUGAGAACUGGAGGCCUUGUGUGUAUUCUGUGUUUGAAAAAUUGAAGCAGCAAGCAGAGGGAGGUGUAAAGUGGCUAGAGAGGUGUCUAGCAGAGCCACAUAGGGACUGCAGAACCAAGAAUAUAUCCCAAGGACUGAAGGGUUUGAAGCAGCUCCUUGUGGAGAGAUUGGUAAGAACACCUAGGCUGUGUGGUUGUCCGGAGUUCAGAUGGUAGCCAGGUCUACUUUGAGGCAGAAGGGAUGCCAAGAAGUAGGUGGAGUUGAGACAGCCCAAAGGGUGACAAAGCCAGGUGAUUAAGUGGGCUUAAGACAUGAGACCUGGAUGCUGGGGCAGGGGUAACUCUCCUGAAGGUGCUGAACACAGGCAGUGUGAUCCCUGGGCCCCAUUUGGAAUGUGCUAAGGAGAUGGUUAUAAAAACCUGAAGGUCAGGAAGCAGAUGUGGGCCAGAAACCUGUGAAUGGCUUUGUGAACCAUUCACAGGCAAAUUGUGAUGAAAAAGUCAAAUAACCAACAUGUUUAGGGUGACUGAGAGGCAAGGAUGGACACCAGGAAGGUUUGUUAUCACAGAAGAAAGGAGGUUAAGGAAUUUUGACCCUGUAAAGGGAAGGUAACCCCCUGCUCUCAGAAAGACUAGAGGCUAGGCAAAUGUUGAUCAGAAAGGAGUGAGAGGAUGGGAUCAGUGCUUGGUGGGGCGAAUAGCCCCUUGGAAGUUAGCUGCAAGAGUGUCUUAUGAUGAGUGGCUAGGUGGGGGUGAGGAAAGAAUGGUGAGGGUCAUGGCUGAGGACACUGGAUUGUCACACAUCUCAGUAUACCCAGUCAAGAGGCACUGGCUGGCUUUGUAAUACACUGCAAGAAGGGUGAAGCAUGGAAAAGAGAGGAAUUUGGAUUAAUGGCUGCUUGGGGCUUUGAGGGUGUGUGAAGCAGCUGAUAUUGAAUCUGUCAUCUCAGCUACUCUGGAAGCCAAGGCAGAAGGAUCCAUGUUCAAGGCCAACCUAGGCAACUGAGUGAGAUCUUGUCUCAAACAAAAACCCCAAAGGGCUGGAGGUGUAGCUUAGUGGUAGAGUUUUUGCCUAGCAUGCAGGGCCCCAGGUUCAAUUUGCCGCAGUCCAGCUGCAGCAAAAUAACCAGGGGGGUGAUGAACAACUUGUGUAGAUUGAUACAGCAGGAGUAGGAGCCGUUUAUUGCAGGACAGGAGCAGUAUUUAUACAUUCCACACAGCUUAUCUAAUUAGCAUAAACUAGAUACAUCAGUCAACCAAUAAGGAAUCUCCACACUUAAUGGCUCGCUGGUGUUACUUCACAAACCACUCCCUCUGGCAUUUUGCCAGGCACCAUCCAGACUUGUUUACGAACUCUAACAUUCCCCUGGCAAAAUGCCAGGUGUUAUUUUGACUUGUUUACAGACUCUAACAUCAAUUCCCAUCACUCCCCCCCCCCCCCCAAAAAAAAAAGGUAUUAAUCAUGAUGCGGGUGGAGAAGGCACAAGAUGAGGCAAGGAGCCUAAACCAGGGUUUUCAGAUUGAAGGGACAUGUGCAGGUGCCAGUGCAGAGAAGAUGGUGGCUGUCAAAUGGCAUAAGCCUUACAGGAAGAGGAUUUAAAACAGAACAAAAAAAAACAUGGCACUAGAGAUUGAACCUAGGGCCACUUUGCUACUGAGUUACAUCCCGUUUUUUUUUUUUUUUUUAAAGACAACAAAACUCAACAGCUGAACAACUGUUGAGGAUCUUGCUGAGUUGCUGAGGCUGACCUCAAACUUGUGAUCAACCUCCAGCUACCUGAGUAGCUGGGAUGACAGGUGUGUGCCACCCACAGGAAGAUUUUUUACUUGAAGAAGGAUAAUCAAUAGUCUGGAGACAUAGAGGCUGAGAACAAGGAAACUGACCUCCCUAUCCCAUCCUGAGGUCUGGAGUGUGGGAGAAGCAGCAGCCAAGAGCCUUUGAGGAGCUAGGUUUUAGUUAAGAAUGAUGUCAGAGAGCAGAACAGAAACCACAGGAGAGGGUUGGGGAUGUAGCUCAGUAGUAGAACAAGUACUUGCUUAACAUGCAUGAGGCUUCAAGUUCAAUCCCCAAUACCACAGCAGAAAAACAAACAAAUAAAUAAAAAAAGGUGGGAGGGAUGGGAAUAAAGAAAUGAGGAAACUCCUAAAACACUACUUAGAGAUGGGCCAGGACAUGACCCUAUCUUUGAAGAUACUGAUAUUUAGCUUGUUAUUUUAAGUCUAGGACUCUUACAUAAACAGUGGUCAUUUAACUUAUUUUGUUUUAAAUUAUAUUUUGGCACUGGAUUAAACAUUAAUGUUGAAAUUCAGAAACAGGCAACAGACUUGAGACUACUGAUUGAAUUCUGAAUAUCUUUAAUUCCUCGGUUUCUUAAAAAUCUAAGCACAGUUUUUGUUUGAUACAGAUGAUGUCUACCGAAGAAAAGCCUCAGAGAGACAGUAUCAGAAAGGCCUGGAUGACACAUCUGAGACUGAACUUCAACAAUCAAUAAAAUGAAUAUGAAUUUUCACUAGUUUUUUUCCUCAAGAAUGUACUCUUACAGGCCUGGGGUUGUGUCUCAGUGGUAG